rnacentral:tRNA from 2 species
GCCUGGCAGGCUCAGUCAGUGGAGCGUGAGACUUCUGAUCUCAGGGUUGUGGGUUCGAGCCCCACGUUGGGUG